UACGAAGGGGGCUAGCGUUGUUCGGAAUUACUGGGCGUAAAGCGUACGUAGGCGGCUUUGUAAGUUAGAGGUGAAAGCCCGGGGCUCAACUCCGGAAUUGCCUUUAAGACUGCAUCGCUUGAAUCAUGGAGAGGUGAGUGGAAUUCCGAGUGUAGAGGUGAAAUUCGUAGAUAUUAGGAAGAACACCGGUGGCGAAGGCGGCCCACUGGUCCGGUACUGACGCUGAGGUGCGAAAGCGUGGGGAGCAAACAGG
rnacentral:rRNA from 1 species